GGUUAAGUUAUUAAGGGCGCACGGUGGAUGCCUUGGCACUAGGAGCCGAUGAAGGACGGGACUAACACCGAUAUGCUUCGGGGAGCUGUAAGUAAGCUUUGAUCCGAA
rnacentral:rRNA from 1 species